ensembl:sense_intronic Gm15606 predicted gene 15606
CUUUGUAGAACAGCAAAGAAGGCAGAGAACAGGGCUGAAGUACAUCCUGAUGCAAGUGUCACAGCUGGAAGGGAAGGCCCAGAGCAAGCCUCCCAAGUUAUCUGCGGUCUCUAGCCCCCAUCCUCCUCCUGCCUUCAGUACUCCAAAGGACAAGAACAGAGGCUUUUCUUCUCUCUUUCUUACUGAAUGAAUUCUGCUUUGCUGGAGUUUGUUGUAAAACCAAGUGGCACUCUCUUUGAGGACAGGGACCGUGCAGAUGGACCAGGACUGGUGACACAAAGCCUCGGGAAGCUGACAAAGGGAUAGAGGCAGCAGAUGAUGGCCCUGUUUCCACGGGUCAUAGGAAGAAACUUUGAAUACAUGCUCUGAUCCCUGAAAGUCAAGAGGACC